GGUGCAGAGAUGAACCUCUGAGAAGGCGCAUGUACCCACGGGGUGCAGAGAUGAACCCCUGUCUGAGAAGGUGCAUGUACCCACGGGGUGCAACGAUGAACCCAACUGAGAAGGAGCAUGUACCCACGGGGUGCAGAGAUGAACCUGUCUGAGAAGGCGCACACACCCACAGCUGCCCCUCAUCUUAGCACCACAGUGCCAGCCCCACCCUGUCUUUGAUAAGCCCUGGCCUUCCAGGGCCUCCCUCAGAGAACCAGCCCCUGCCGAGUGCCUGAACGUAGCUGCGGUCUGGGGUGCCGACCCUUGGCACUGGGAGAAACCGUCACCAGUAGCAUCACCCCCCAGUGAGCCAAGAUCGCACCACAGCAGCAUCACCGGGGAGGGAGUCACGUGGUUGUCACUGCAGAACUCUGGAGGGGCAGGCUCUCGCGUGGGUGGGGGCCAUGGAGGAUGCAGCGUGGGAUUUAAAAUGAGCCCGAUGAAGGGAAAUGCUGGUUCUUCAAUGUCCAUGAGCUCAAGCCCUGUGGGAAGUGUAGCCUCGAUUAUUUUGCACAGAUCUGAACAGCAUUCACCCCCAGUUGGAUAUGGCCCUUUUCUCGAAGCACAGAUUGGAACUCAAGGUCUCUGAAGUGCUUUCUGGCCGCAUCAUGGAGAGAAAGGCAUUUUCUCACUCAGGCAUCACCCCGGGAACGUGGCGUGCCAUGUUUUAGCAUCUAAGUGUGUCCCCUGAGGAGGCAGGGUUAUGCCGUAAUCACAAGCAACCCCCAAAUCUCAACGGCAUUAACGACACAGGGUAAUUUAUCAUGGGAUUGCGUGUCCACCUGGGUCCCCGCGGAGCUCUGUUGACUGGAGUCGCUCGGAGCCCCCGGCGCGAAUGCUGGAUGGCCGAGCGGGGAGGAGCGCUCAGGGGCUUCACGCUGUCAACACCCCACUCCGAAGUGACUCCCGCGGCUUCCAGCAGUCACCUGCUGGACAGAGACUGUCACACGGGCCCCCGCACACAGUGGGGUGGGAAGGGAGAUCCUACCGCAUACCUGGAAGACGGGAGAACAGGGGUGUUUCGGUGAGUAGUGCUCUCUCUCAGUCCGCACAGCAGCCUUCCAGCAAAUCGGGAUGUUAUGCCAAACCCGCCCCACGCCCCCAAAUGCCAGGCUCCCCGGGGUAGCAACGAAUGACACGUUGUCCAAUCAGACUUCAGUGCAACCAUGUCACAGAAGACAUGACUAAAGCAAAACAGGACUGGGUGGUGCUCAUUUUGGUUUUGACAAGGUCGGGCCUGGGUCUCUGCUUUCCUCUCCUGGGCCAAGAUCCUCUGGGCGUGGAGUUCAGGAACGAGGGUGGGACCUUCCCCAGGAGACCCAGGUAUGGGCAGCGGUUGCUGGGACCAAGUCCUCACUGAGAGUGACUUCGACAAACAUCCAUUGGCAGCUCCAGCUUAGGCCCAGG
rnacentral:lncRNA from 1 species